UGGGAGGUAGCUCAGAGGCAGAGCAAGAAGCUGUUAACUUCAAGGUCGGGAUAUCGUAAUUCCCCCUCCCAG
rnacentral:tRNA from 1 species